rnacentral:rRNA from 1 species
GAUGAACGCUGGCGGCGUGCCUAAUACAUGCAAGUCGAGCGAACAGACGAGGAGCUUGCUCCUCUGACGUUAGCGGCGGACGGGUGAGUAACACGUGGAUAACCUACCUAUAAGACUGGGAUAACUUCGGGAAACCGGAGCUAAUACCGGAUAAUAUAUUGAACCGCAUGGUUCAAUAGUGAAAGACGGUUUUGCUGUCACUUAUAGAUGGAUCCGCGCCGCAUUAGCUAGUUGGUAAGGUAACGGCUUACCAAGGCAACGAUGCGUAGCCGACCUGAGAGGGUGAGCGGCCACACUGGAGCUGAGACACGGUCCAGAGUCCUACGGGAGGCAGCAGUAGGGAAUCUUCCGCAAUGGGCGAAAGCUUGACGGAGCAACGCGGCGUGAGUGAUGAAGGUCUUCGGAUCGUAAAACUCUGUUAUUAGGGAAGAACAAAUGAGUAAGUAACUAUGCGCGUCUUGACGGUACCUAAUCAGAAAGCCACGGCUAACUACGUG